UACGUAGGGUGCAAGCGUUAAUCGGAAUUACUGGGCGUAAAGCGUGCGCAGGCGGCUAUUUAAGCUUGCUGUGAAAGCCCCGGGCUUAACCUGGGAACUGCAGUGAGGACUGGAUGGCUGGAGUGUGGCAGAGGGGGGUGGAAUUCCACGUGUAGCAGUGAAAUGCGUAGAGAUGUGGAGGAACACCGAUGGCGAAGGCAGCCCCCUGGGCUAACACUGACGCUCAGGCACGAAAGCGUGGGGAGCAAACAGG
rnacentral:rRNA from 1 species